rnacentral:tRNA from 1 species
GUCUCCGUGGAGCUGUCUGGAAAGCUCGUCUGCCUGUCACGCAGAAGGUCGUGGGUUCAAAUCCCAUCGGGGACGC